rnacentral:rRNA from 1 species
GAGAAGCUUGCUUCUCUGAUGUUAGCGGCGGACGGGUGAGUAACACGUGGAUAACCUACCUAUAAGACUGGGAUAACUUCGGGAAACCGGAGCUAAUACCGGAUAAUAUUUUGAACCGCAUGGUUCAAAAGUGAAAGACGGUCUUGCUGUCACUUAUAGAUGGAUCCGCGCUGCAUUAGCUAGUUGGUAAGGUAACGGCUUACCAAGGCAACGAUGCAUAGCCGACCUGAGAGGGUGAUCGGCCACACUGGAACUGAGACACGGUCCAGACUCCUACGGGAGGCAGCAGUAGGGAAUCUUCCGCAAUGGGCGAAAGCCUGACGGAGCAACGCCGCGUGAGUGAUGAAGGUCUUCGGAUCGUAAAACUCUGUUAUUAGGGAAGAACAUAUGUGUAAGUAACUGUGCACAUCUUGACGGUACCUAAUCAGAAAGCCACGGCUAACUACGUGC